rnacentral:snoRNA from 1 species
CUGGGUGAUGAUUGAUGAAUCACCUGGUAAGUUUUCAUACGCCGUCAAAAUACGGCACUGAUGAGACACUAUUCAUCGUGUCUGGACUUCUGACAG